rnacentral:rRNA from 1 species
UACGUAGGGGGCUAGCGUUGUCCGGAAUCAUUGGGCGUAAAGAGCGUGUAGGCGGUCCGGUAAGUCCGCUGUGAAAGUCGGGGGCUCAACCCUCGAAUGCCGGUGGAUACUGUCGGGCUAGAGUGCGGAAGAGGCGAGUGGAAUUCCUGGUGUAGCGGUGAAAUGCGCAGAUAUCAGGAGGAACACCGAUGGCGAAGGCAGGUCUCUGGGCCAUUACUGACACUGAGAAGCGAAAGCAUGGGGAGCGAACAGG